UACCCUCCUCUGGGCAUGUUCUCUGGAAAAUCCUUUGGGGACCAACAACCUACCAAGAAAAACUCACGUUCCAUAUGGCACAUUUACACGAGAAUCCGUGGGAUCCCGUUGAAUUGAGCCACGUCCAAAUGCUCUUCUUCGGCCCCGUAGCCCAGAAAUCAGAAAAUUCUCCGCGCUGUCCGUCGAAGUCCCUACCCCACCGCCGCCUCCGCCGUAUCUUUAUAAACGGGUGGGUCCAUUCUCCAGCGGUUGCUGGUUCUCUCUCCCCAUUCGAUCGGGAGAAACGGGAAGCCGAGAGAGAGCGAGCGAGAUCCUUUUAGUCCUCUCUUUCGACGACGACCGUGAUGGGAGACGAUCCUUUUCCCACCCGCUGGAAGCCAAAUCCCGCAAUCCCCUUCUCUUUCCCUUUCCAAUCUUCUGAUCCGAUCGGUAAUUCUUUUGAUUUAUUCUCCGUCAAUCUUUCUUGCUUCCUGGGGUUCCUAUUUUCUUGUUUCCUUGAUUUUUCUUUCAUUUCGGGGUUCUUGUUUCUUGAUUUUUUUUUUCUUUUCUUUUUUGGUUUCUUGUGCUUGAUCGUGGGAUUUCAAGCUAUAUUAUGAUGCGAGGUUUGGAAGGAAGAAGGAACCCAAAGAAGAGCUACGGAUUCAAGAUCGAAUAUCAAUGGGAUUUAUGCAAAUGGAUUGAUCGGUGCCAAUGCGAUUGUAAAGAACUCGUCCAACCUGGCCGUAUACGAGCGGCAGGUUGAUUUCUUGGUGCCGGGACGGCGACUUCUUUUGUAUGUCUAGGUGCUUUAUUUGAUGCCUGAGGAUACCGACGUUUAGUUCUCAAUUUCAGAGAUAUCGUUUGUGGGAGUCCAGAUGUGAAGUGGGAAAGCAUUAAAGGAUUAGACACUACAAAAUGACCUCUUAAAGAGGUGGUUGUCAUGCCCAUCAAAUAUCCCAAGUACCUCACUGGUCUUCUUUCCUUGGAAAGGUAUUUUGCUUUUCGGCCCUCAAGAACGGGAGGAUCUUGCUCUGCCUAGUGGGGACCCGCACUGAGGGGUUUUGCUUUCACAUGGAAAAAGAAGAAGAUUUUUUUUUGCUGGGGUUUCCUUUGAGUCACUGCACUGACCACUUUUAAAGACUCCUUUUUGUGGCUCACCAGGAUUGCUCAUCUGAUGAGCAAACAACUACCUCAUCCUAAUCAAUCACCUGUGUUAUUCAGAUAUCGUCCAUGGUACAGGUCUUACAGAAUUUUUACAUAGAUGCCAGAAAGGCUGCUAAUUUGAUAGGCAACCAACUAUCUGAUCUGGUUACUACCAUGAGACAAUGCUUGCAAAAGCUGUGGCUACUGAAUGGAAGAAUACAUUUUUCAAUAUUUCAGCAUCAUUAAUUAAUUGUCAGCAAAUGGCAUGGAAUGCAAGUGAUUCAGAAAACCUAGUGAAAGUCUUAUUUGAGCUUUCCAGGCACCACGCACAUCAACUAUAUCUCUUGAUGAUAUUGAUGCAAUCAUUAGUCAACAUGGUGAAGCACGUAGUGAGCAUGAAGCAAGUCGACUUUUGAAAACUGAACUACCUAUACUGAUGGAUGGCCCGAUGAAGACAGAUGAGCUUGUAUUUGUUUUAGCAGAAAAAAAUCUGCCUUGGGAACUAGAUGUGGCUAUUGCUCCACUGUCUUGAGAAGCAGCUAUGCUUUGAAUUCACUAUUUACAUGAUAGGAGCAAGAAACAAGAAAAUACUAUAAUAUACUGGAUUCACUGUUCUUCUGAAAUAUGACGAGGGUGCCCCUUGGUUUCUCUACUUUAUUACUCAACCGUGGAUAUUUGAAAUGACUGGCUACAGCAAGAUGUUACGUUUCUUUUUUAGGAAAAAGGCAUCAAAGCAUUAGCAUUUAUUCCCUAACCACACUAACAUAAUUCCAUUAAAAAUUUGGAUGCUUGUGUUCUCAUUGUUAUAUAAUACAGCAUAAACCUCAUCAUAUAUGCAUGCCCUUGCAGGCCUGUUAGAUUUGCCAGGUAUAGGAUUUGGGAACUAGUUUUCCUGUGGAAAUGUAUUUUUCUGAAGACAUGCUUUGCAGAAAACCAAGGAUGCUGAAAAGAACUCUGCUUAAAUGCUAAUACAUAGGAUGCUGAAAAACUUUAUUAUGUAUGCAGGAAAAGUAAGCCUUUCCUUCCAGGAGAAAAAGAACCAGAAAGCAAGAGUGUGAAAGCAUCUUCUUCUGUAAAUCAUCAAAGUUACCAUCAAACCAAACAACUGGAGAGCUGCAUUUUCUGUUCCCAAGAAAAAGAUGCCCCUUCCCUUUUUCCCCACAUUUCCUUACAAGCAAAUGGACCUAAAGCAAGAUAAAGAUUUAUUUAUUCUUAUAUAAUAGCUGGCUUGAUGAUUAAUCUGUGUCCAUUAAUAAACUCACCAUGUUAUGCAUGAAUUUCCAUUGCUAGCAUCACUAUUCAAGCACACGCACUGUGGGAUUAGUUCUAGCUAUGGAGACCCUCUAGUCAGGAAGAAACAUCGGCCUACAGAUAAUGAAUAAGACUUUAAGACAUAUUUUCUUUGUAAAAAUAAAUUUUGGAAAAGAUGGAUGCCCAAAUGAAAAAAUUCCUUGGAUGAUGGAAAAAUUUUAAAUCAAAUUUCUAAUGGUUGGAUGAAAAAUAUAUGAACCAUCAUCUGUUUUCUGAUACUAAUAGCUUGAAGAGUUAAUGUUAUGCUUAUGAUUCAAGGACACUUCUGCUUCUUUAUGAUUCUUCAUUUCCCUAAGGUUAAUAGAGAAAUGAGCAAAUAAGAAAAACAUAUCAGGUAUUUUCUAGCUAUUAGCUGAUUUGCUUAAUCUUAUUGUGAGAAUUUUUUUUUGGUCAUCUGAAUGCUGUUUUUUUGCUUGGAGAAUAUGAAAUGACUAUUUUACUUGGUAUAAGGUUCCAGUUAUUAUUAUAAUCUAAGGUUCUUCUUAACCUCAUUCAAUCAGAUUCUUUUACAGAACUGGAAGCAAGGUGAGCAAUGUUCUUUUAAGGAGCUCUUGCCAUCAGCCCGUGGAGAAUCAGAGCUUAUGUAUGAUAUUCUGGUGGAAAGGCAGAAGGCUAUUCAGGCUCAGAUAUGCGUCUAGCAUGCAAAGAGGCAGCUAUGGAGCUGCUGAGAUGAUUGAUGACAGUUCUAGAAGACAGACAAGCAAGUGCAUGGAGAUGAACUUGGUCCAGCGAACUUGAAGAUAUAGAGCUGGCUUUUGAGGAAUAUGAGACCAUCAGCUCAUCUCCAUGCUCAUCGUUAUGAAAAACUCAAUCACGAUUAUGGCAGCAAAAUUCUUGAUUAAAGGUCAGCUUGUGUAUGCUGCUGUACUUUGAUAGCAUUAUUUUAUUCUUUUUCAUGGAUCAUAUAUCAUCAUCGUCAGGAUUCUUGAUAUGGCUUCAUUCAGAAAACCAUUAUUGAUUUGGAGCACUUCACCACAUCAUGGAAUUUAAAACAAUUAGAGGAUCCUGGUCUCUGGCAAUUAGUUAGUAUUUUAUGCUGCAAAUUGCCCACGAAGGUUACAUUGGUUGCUGGACACAACAGCCACCCUUAGCAAUCUAAGGGGUAAUAUAUUUUUAACUUGUUAAAUGUAAUAUAUUUUUAACUUGUUGCGGGACGCAACAACCACUCUCAGCAAUCUUUUCCAAAUAAGUACUAUGUUAGAGGCAUCUUGCACGGCUGGAUAAUCCUUUCAAACAAUAAGCACUAUUAGCUACCAUAAGGACAAUGCAGCUAACUUAUACUAGCAGACUUCAUGAUUGUUAUUGCUUUUUCCCCAAGUAAAACGAUAUUGAUUUACAUUUUAACCAAACAAAUUGAUCAACAAUUAUCCAAUCAUUUAUGAUUUAAACAGCUUUUAUGAUUUGUGUU